rnacentral:rRNA from 1 species
AUUGAACGCUGGCGGCAGGCUUAACACAUGCAAGUCGAACGAGAGGCGGACGGGUGAGUAAUGGCUGGGCAACUGCCUGACGGAGGGGGAUAACUACUGGAAACGGUAGCUAAUACCGCAUACCAUCAGAUGUGGCCAGACGGGAUUAGCUAGUUGGUGGGGUAAUGGCUCAGCAAGGCGACGAUCCCUAGCUGGUCUGAGAGGAUGACCGGCCACACUGGAACUGAGACACGGUCCAGACUCCGACGGGAGGCAGCAGUGGGGAAUAUUGCACAAUGGGCGCAAGUCUGAUACAGCCAUGCCGCGUGUGUGAAGAAGGCCUUCGGGUUGUAAAGCACUUUCAGCGGGGAGGCGUUACUCGCACAAGAAGCACCGGCUAACUCCGUGCCAGCAGCCGCGGUAAUUC